rnacentral:rRNA from 1 species
GAUUAACGCUGGCGGCAUGCCUAAGACAUGCAAGUCGAACGAAGUGACCUAUUGAAAUUAGAGUGCUUGCACAAAGAUGGAUUUAGAAUCACUUAGUGGCGGAUGGGUGAGUAACACGUGGGUAACCUACCUUUUAGAUUGGGAUAACACAGGGAAACUUGUGAUAAUACCGAAUAGGAAACGAAAAUAAUUUUUUUGUUUUGAAAGAUGCCUUUAAAGCAUCACUAGAAGAUGGGCCUGCGGCGUAUUAGUUAGUUGGUAGGGUAAUGGCCUACCAAGACAAUGAUGCGUAGCCGAACUGAGAGGUUAAACGGCCACAUUGGGACUGAGACACGGCCCAAACUCCUACGGGAGACAGCAGUUAGGAAUAUUCGUCAAUGGGGAACCCUGAACGAGCAAUGCCGCGUGAGUGAUGAAGGUCUUUAUGAUUGUAAAGCUCUGUUGUAUGGGAAAACACUAAGUAUAGGAAUGAUACUAGCUGACGGUACCAUACCAGAAGCCCCGGCUAACUACG